rnacentral:snRNA from 1 species
AGCUUUGCGCAGUGGCAGUGUGACAGCCAGUGAGGUUUCUGCGAGGCACGGCUAUUGCUAAUUGAAAGAUUUCCCAAUGCCCCGCAUGACAGUUUGCAGUGCAGUGGGCACUGGGGAUUGUUGACAGUCUCUAUGGAC